rnacentral:rRNA from 1 species
GAUGAACGCUGGCGGCGUGCCUAAUACAUGCAAGUCGAGCGAACAGACGAGGAGCUUGCUCCUCUGACGUUAGCGGCGGACGGGUGAGUAACACGUGGAUAACCUACCUAUAAGACUGGGAUAACUUCGGGAAACCGGAGCUAAUACCGGAUAAUAUAUUGAACCGCAUGCUUCAAUAGUGAAAGACGGUUUUGCUGUCACUUAUAGAUGGAUCCGCGCCGCAUUAGCUAGUUGGUAAGGUAACGGCUUACCAAGGCAACGAUGCGUAGCCGACCUGAGAGGGCGAUCGGCCACACUGGAACUGAGACACGGUCCAGACUCCUACGGGAGGCAGCAGUAGGGAAUCUUCCGCAAAGGGCGAAAGCUUGACGGAGCAACGCCGCGUGAGUGAUGAAGGUCUUCGGAUCGUAAAACUCUGUUAUUAGGGAAGAACAAAUGUGUAAGUAACUAUGCACGUCUUGACGGUACCUAAUCAGAAAGCCACGGCUAACUACGUG